rnacentral:rRNA from 1 species
GACGAACGCUGGCGGCGUGCCUAACACAUGCAAGUCGAACGGAGUUGUUCCUUCGGGGACAACUUAGUGGCGAACGGGUGAGUAACGCGUGAGAAACCUGCCUUUCAGUGGGGGACAACAGUUGGAAACGACUGCUAAUACCGCAUAAUGUUAUUUGGGGGCAUCCCUGAAUAACCAAAGCUUUAUGUGCUGAAAGAUGGUCUCGCGUCUGAUUAGCUAGUUGGUGAGGUAACGGCUCACCAAGGCGACGAUCAGUAGCCGGUCUGAGAGGAUGAACGGCCACAUUGGGACUGAGAUACGGCCCAGACUCCUACGGGAGGCAGCAGUGGGGAAUAUUGGGCAAUGGGCGAAAGCCUGACCCAGCAACGCCGCGUGAAGGAAGAAGGCCUUCGGGUUGUAAACUUCUUUUACCAGGGACGAAGAACGUGACGGUACCUGGAGAAAAAGCAACGGCUAACUACGUG